UCUAGGGGAGAAACUCAUUGUGUCACUGAA
rnacentral:piRNA from 1 species